UUCAGCUUCUGUAGUCAUAUGCUUGUCUCAGUCGUACAAGGUUUCACUGUAAUCAUAUGCUUGUCUCCCUUCGAAACAAGGUUUCACUGUAGAAACGUGCUUAACCUCUAGCUAAAACAUGUGCAAAAGCCCCACUUCGGGAGGGGGGGGAUUGUUCGAUAAAAAAACAAUGCCCUUCGGGUUUUCUUGGUGAUGGAAGAUAACUUUCUGAUCGCAUGGCCCCGCUCCCGCCAUCGAUCAUUCAAAUUUCUGCCAUAUUAACUUUCCAAGGUCAGGUAUUGGCUGACCAUGGAUCCGACGGGCAAGGGGGAACAAAGGGACGGGGCAUGAGGCUGAGCCUGAGAACCGGCAACCUGAUCCCCCGAAGGCAGCAGGCGCGCAGGCUCCCCGUUCGCGAAUUACGCAAGCAGGGACAAGAAAUACUGAGACAGGGCUCUUUUGUGUAUUGUCUCUGGAAUGAGUACAAUAUAGACCUCAUAACCAGUAACAAUUGUACGGCAGUACUGGUGCCAGGGGCCGCCUGAAGUCCAGCUCCGAUAGCGUAUAUGAUAGUUGUUGCGCUUUACAAGCUCGUAGUUCGAAACUUGGGCCUGGGUGGAAGGUCCACCGUCACCGCGGGUACUGGUCCGUCCGGGACUUGCCCUCUGGAAACCCCUGUGCCCUUCAGUAGUCAUGCGGGAGAACGGGGAAUCUACCUUUGAAAUCAUUAGAGUUGGACGAAGCAAGACUGUGCUCAGAACGCUUAACUCGGAACCAAAGACAUAGGACGUGGGGUCCUGUUUUGUUGGUUUCCUACGAGCUCCGUAGUGAUCACUAGAGCACAGUCGGGGGCAAAGGGAUUCAGUUGGCGGAAGUUGAAAUUCUUGUAAUUACUGAUAGAACUAACCUACGGUCAAAACAUUAGUGCAACGGAAGCUAUUCAUUUAUUGCAUGAGACUGAAUGUCAUGGGACCGGAAAACAAUUUCAGUGCCAUCGUACACCUAUACCGUAACACUUGCGCGCACCUUCGGACCGGGCGGCAGCUACUAUUGGCUCUACCGAUCAGUCUGCACUGACUACAACUUCCUUCAGGUUCUUUUGGCGAGUAAGGUGAGAAAUGAGUGGGCGAUAGGGGGUAGAACUUACAGCAACUGGAAAGGGAAGCGUCAUCGCAAUGGGCUGCUGAACCGCGGCCGACUUUAUCUCGGCCAACCGCGGGAUAAGCCUUCGCACCCGGUACUAGCAAUCAUGUGCUAUGGUCUAGGAUCCGAUUGCUCAUGUUUUCUGUCG
rnacentral:rRNA from 1 species